CAUGACUAAAGCCCGUUGGUCGCAGAAUUAAAACUCUAGAUUUUUGAUGCCCCAGGCUAACCCUUUUUCAAAACUGGAGAUUUGAAAAAUACAGGAAAGGAAGUAAUUGAUUACAUUUCUCCCAGACGGAAUGUUAUUUUGGCAAGCGUCCUACCUUGAAAUACGCUCUGCCGGGAUCCGAGAUUGCGACUUUUAACCCUUAAUUGAGCUAAAGAGGCAUUUCUUCCCCUGGACUUCGUCCUCGCGGGCAACUAGGAGCCCAUCAUGGCCUCAGCUGGUUGGAGUGCUCAGCUGUCGCAGGGUACCAGUAUUUUGCUGUGAAUAGGUGAACACUUUUCUAUGUCUCCUUGAACAUGUGUAAUGUUUCUCCAGAAGACACACCUAGAAGUGGAAUUGCUGGGUUGUCAGGCACGAGGAGUCUGACCCUGAAUCUGCUCACCUCUGGGUAAACUCGAAAAGUCAAUCCUAGACCAGUGUGACGUGAAGGAGAUAAAAAUGUGUAAAACUCUGCCUGCUGGCCUGCUGGCUUCUAUCACUGCCACCUCUAGAUCAAUCGUCCGGUUACUGACCAGAGUAUUUACUUUGCUCUAAAGCUGAAAAUAAAACAUCCCAAAAUUUUAAGCCUGGGAGGGGUGGUUUCACAAGAUCUUCUUCAGUUUUCUUUGUAUUAUUUUUCUGUAUAAUGUGACUAUAUUAAAUACAUUAUUUCCUGCCUCCCAUCAGGUCAAGGAAAUAAAGCUGAAUGAAACCAAAA